rnacentral:rRNA from 1 species
UACGUAGGGUGCAAGCGUUGUCCGGAAUUAUUGGGCGUAAAGAGCUCGUAGGCGGUUUGUCGCGUCUGCUGUGAAAACUCGGGGCUUAACCCCGGGCCUGCAGUGGGUACGGGCAGACUAGAGUGCGGUAGGGGAGACUGGAAUUCCUGGUGUAGCGGUGAAAUGCGCAGAUAUCAGGAGGAACACCGGUGGCGAAGGCGGGUCUCUGGGCCGAGUAACUGACGCUGAGGACGAAAGCGUGGGGAGCGAACAGG